ACGCUCGACACCUACGGGAGGCGGCAGUGGGGAAUAUUGCACAAUGGGGGAAACCCGUGAUGCAGCGACGCCGCGUGGAGGAAGAAGGUCUUCGGAUUGUAAACUCCUGUUGUUGGGGAAAAAGAGGAUGGUACCCAACAAGGAAGUGACGGCUAACUACGUGCCAGCAGCCGGGUAAUCUGAGCGGGCUGGCAAGGC
rnacentral:rRNA from 1 species